rnacentral:lncRNA from 1 species
CAUAAAUGGUGUGACUUUACUUUGUGUACAACCAGAGAUAUGAAAAAUUAUGCUCUAUAUGUGUAAUAUGAAUUGUAAUGCAUUCUGCUGUCAUAUAUAACAAAUUCAAAUUUUAAAAAAUUAUUUGGAAUUCUUCCAUCAGGAAAAUCUGUCUCUUCUUCCUCUUUUUAUUUUCAAUUGUUUAUGUAUACCAGUAUCAAGUUUAUGUGUAUGUGUAUAAAAUAUUUCAUAUUAUAACCCUAUAUUAUGUUAUUUAUUUUGUCACCCAAAUUAUUGCAGCUUUGGGCAGAGAGACUUCCUUUAGUUUCACUCCUCUGUCUGCUUGUAAUGCUACCCACUUUCAUUUUUUUAGCACAUCCUUACUUUCUAGUACUAAAAUAUACUCUAAAUUCAUUGUGUUAUUUUCUUUCCUCAGUCCUAGAAACAGCUGGUUCCCCAAGGACUUCUGAUUCUUUUUAUUGGAAAAUUAUAUUUAGAAAAAAAAUCUGUGCACCAAAGUACUUAUCUCUCCUGUAAUGUUAUUGCUUCUAGAUUUUUCUCAGUGGCCAGAGUUAGGUAAUAUAUGUAUAUUAAUCUUGUGUGCAUAAAUCUUUAAAAUUCUUUGCUGUAUUAAUCCAUUUGUAUAUUUAUCAUGCAUGCCUACCUGCAUUCAUACUGAUGUACUCAACUCUAGUACCACAAAGUUUCUUCUAGCCUUGGCCUCUUGCUCACCUGAAACUUCCCACUCCCAAAGUAAUAAACACAGCAUUCCCAUCCACUCACUUAUUUGUUCAAUUCCAAUGUAAAUGUAAAUCUGUUUCAGAAUUGUUAACUCAUACAUGACCCCAUGAGAAACACACUUACCAACUAGAAUACACUGUUUAUAAAUAAUUCUUUCCAUCUUCAUCCUUACAGUUUCUAGUUCAAACACUAAUUUCCUAGUGUACUUUGGUCAGCUUUUUUUCCCUCAUACUCUUUAACGAAUUUAUGUAGUUUAUUUAUACUAUAAUAUAUUCAUUUACUGAAGUCUGCAUUCCAUCCCCAGACUUCUGGCAACCUGCUUGAUUUUUUUUAUAGUUUAUAUACAAUAAAGUUCAUUAUGUAUGAUAUACAGUUCUAUGGAUUUUGAAAUACACAGUUAUGCACAAACCACCCCCAAUACUGUGCAGACUUAUUGAGUUGCCCUAAAAUUUUCGUAAGUCCUUUCUGAUUAAACCACCUUCUUGCUCCAUCAAUCCCUGGCCUGUUUUCCGUCUUGGUAGUCUUGUCUCUUCCAGAAUUUCACAUGAAUUAAAUGAUAUGAUAUGUAGCUUUUGGGACCUG